rnacentral:rRNA from 1 species
UGGCUAAUUGUGUGCUAUACGCACGCUUGCAGGUACCAUUUGAAUAAGCACCGGCUAACUACGUGCCAGCAGCCGCGGUAAUACGUAGGGUGCAAGCGUUGUCCGGAUUUAUUGGGUUUAAAGGGUGCGCAGGCGGCCUUAUAAGUUAGUGGUGAAAGCGUCCGGCUCAACCGGAUACCCGCCAUUGAUACUGUAGGGCUUGAGUGUGUCAGAGGAGGUUGGAAUGCGUGGUGUAGCGGUGAAAUGCAUAGAUAUCACGCAGAACACCGAUUGCGAAGGCAGAUCUCUAUGACAUAACUGACGCUCAGGCACGAAAGCGUGGGGAGCGAACAGGAUUAGAUACCCUGGUAGUCCACGCUGUAAACGAUGAUCACUAAGUGUUCGACCUUCGGGUUGAGUGCUCAAGCGAAAGCGAUAAGUGAUCCACCUGGGGAGUACGUUCGCAAGAAUGAAACUCAAAGGAAUUGACGGGGGCCCGCACAAGCGGUGGAGCAUGUGGUUUAAUUCGAUGAUACGCGAGGAACCUUACCUGGGCUACAAUGCCUCUGCCACCUGGUGAAAGCUGGGGUUCCUUCGGGACAGAGUGCAAGGUGCUGCAUGGUUGUCGUCAGCUCGUGUCGUGAGAUGUUGGGUUAAGUCCCGCAACGAGCGCAACCCUCGUCCUAUGUUGCCAGCACGUCAUGGUGGGGACUCGUAGGAGACUGCCGGGGUCAACUCGGAGGAAGGUGGGGAUGACGUCAAGUCAUCAUGCCCCUUAUGUCCAGGGCUGCAAACAUGCUACAAUGGCCGGUACAACGGGCAGCGACACUGCGAAGUGAAGCGAAUCCCUUAAAGCCGGUCUCAGUUCGGAUUGAAGUCUGCAACUCGACUUCAUGAAGCUGGAGUCGCUAGUAAUCCCGGAUCAGCAACGCCGGGGUGAAUACGUUCCCGGGCCUUGUACACACCGCCCGUC